GGCUUCUUGAAAAAUUGAAAAUGCUGGCAACAGCAGCCCUACAUUUCUGCAUAGUUGUGAUGGCCAUGGCUGAGUAAUGGGUUCCCCUUCAGACAGGGCAUGUCACUUUAGACAGUGUGCCACCAUCCCCACCUCAAGUCAACUUCACUCACCCCUGUAGGCCUUUGAGUUUGUGACCCUUUUUUAAGUAUUAGAAUUAGUACAGUUUCAUCAAUGUUACAAGUGAGGUUUUUUUCUAUCAUACCUCAGAUGAUGGAAGUCAGUGACCUAAUCUAUGACACUAACAUAUAUUUAAUUCAUUACAAGCAGUAGCCAAGAAGGGCACAUGGAGCUUUGCAGGGACGCUCGCAGGAGGACACCAGAGAGUGCUAGAGCUGCUUAUGGUAAUGUGACCUACAACUCAGAGCCUAAUUGUGUCAGGUGAAGUGGCCUGGACAGUUUACUCUCUGUUCUCAGAGUUAACAAGCUCCCAUCACAUAACUUUCUUUGUGAAUAUUAAAUAAGCCUACGCUGGAAAGCAAAUGUCAAGUUGCCAGGGAGGAGAGGUUUGCACAGCAAGUGCAGAAUGAUUCGUGUGGCUUCUAGGCUUUGUAGUUAAUCUUUUAUUAACUGUCCUUAUUUUCUUUUUAAAAUUAACCUUAUUAUUCCUUUCAACUGGAUCUAACUAAGGAAAUGCUAUGAAGGAGGUAUUUUUAUUUUUGCUUUUAAAUAAUGUAGCAGGAGCCCAUGAAGCCAGUGCAACCCUUUAAAGAUGGUGAUUUCUCAUGGUUAUGAGGAAGAUUCAUUGGUUUGUGUGAGAUAAAAACCAGACAAAUACCCCACGUUGUUUCUUUACUAAACUCCCUUAUGCCUCCCUCACAAUGCUGAUUUUUCUAAUUUUACAGAAAACUGAGGCUGAGUAUAUUCAAAUGGUUUAAAUGAUGGGAUCACUUUUUUUGUUUGUUUUUGAGACAGGGUCUUGUUCUGUCACCGAGGCUGGAGUGCAGUGGGGCGAUCUGGGCUUACUGCAACCUCUGCCUCUUGGGCUCAAGUGAUCCUCCCAUCUCAGCCUUCCGAGUAGCAGGGACUACAAGCAUGCGCCACCAUCACAGAGCUAAUUUUUGUAUUUUUUGUGGAGAUAGGGUCUUCCUGUGGUGCGCAGGCUGGUCUAGAACUCUUGGGCUCAAGCGAUCCACCUGCCUCGGCCUCCCAAAGUGUGGGGAUUACAGGCAUGAGCCACCGUGCCUGGCCGGGAUCACAUUCUAAUAAAUGUUAGAACAAAGGCCAGAACUUGUUCUGACUCUUAUACCAUUGUAUUAAAUGGUUUGUCCUUGUUUUCCUUUAGGGAAUUUUCCCAAAUUUAAGAAUAUAGCAACUAAAAAGGGAAAUGAUUACUAUAAAAGUAAGGAUAGUGGCCAGGGGUGUGGUGGCUCACACCUGUAAUCCCAGAACUUUGGGAGACUGAGGCAGGCAGAUCACUUGAGAUUAGGAGUUUGAGACUAGCCUGUCUAACAUGGCGAAACCCCAUCUCUACUAAAAAUACAAAAAUUAGCUGGGCGUGGUGGUGUGCACCUGUAAUUCCAGUUACUCAGGAGGCUGAGGUGGGAGAAUUGCUUGAACCCGGGAGGUGGAGGUUGCAGUGAGUCAAGAUUGCACCACUGCCCUCCAGCCUAGGCAACAGAGCAGGAAUCUGUCUCAAAAAAAAAAAAAAAAAAAAAGUAAGGAUAGUAGAUACAUCUGGAUUAGAGGGAGAGGUGUGUAGUCUAGUGGUCUAGAAGGGAUAUAUAGGGGUUUUCUUGACUAGGGGGUGGUCACCUUUACCAUGAUAAUUAUCAAGUGAACAUAGUCUGCCUGGGGCUGUCCCAGUUUAAGCCUCAAACCAGGUUAAAUUUUUUUUUUUUUUUGACACGGAGUCUUGCUCUGUCACUGAGGCUGGACUGCAGCGGCGUGAUCUCAGCUCACUGCAACCUCUG
rnacentral:lncRNA from 10 species